UGGUAAACCAUUUCUUAUGAAGACCUUCAAAGAUGGAAACAGAAAUGUAGAAAUAGACAAAUGAAGUGUAUUUAUUACUUAGGCCAUCUCAAACAUUUCUUUUUUGUCUUUUACACGGUUCCCUUUGCCAGGUGUGGCAUGAAGAGGUGCCAGGCAGGAGAGAGGAGGAGAGUUCCAGAGGGCGAGCAGGUGUGCUGCUACCAACAUGACCCUUGUCCAGAAGGGACCAUUUCUGAUCAGACAGAAAUGAAAUGUUAGAAUAGUUUGGAUGAAUAUGAAGAUAGAAGAAACUUAUGGAAGAUGGAAAACAAGCCUAGAAGAUAACACCGAGGGGUCACAGGGAAGGGAGGAUUGAUGUAUUAAACGUUUGUCUGCCUUAAAAAAUAAAAAAAAUAAAAAAGA